rnacentral:rRNA from 1 species
GAUGAACGCUAGCUACAGGCUUAACACAUGCAAGUCGAGGGGAAACGACAUCGAAAGCUUGCUUUUGAUGGGCGUCGACCGGCGCACGGGUGAGUAACGCGUAUCCAACCUGCCCAUCACUUGGGAAUAACCUUGCGAAAGUAAGACUAAUACCCAAUGAUAUCCCACGAAGGCAUCGGAAUGGGAUUAAAGAUUUAUCGGUGUUGGAUGGGGAUGCGUCUGAUUAGCUUGUUGGCGGGGUAACGGCCCACCAAGGCAACGAUCAGUAGGGGUUCUGAGAGGAAGGUCCCCCACAUUGGAACUGAGACACGGUCCAAACUCCUACGGUAGGCAGCAGUGAGGAAUAUUGGUCAAUGGGCGAGAGCCUGAACCAGCCAAGUAGCGUGCAGGAAGACGGCCCUAUGGGUUGUAAACUGCUUUUAUAAGGGAAUAAAGUGGGUCACGUGUGACUUUUUGCAUGUACCUUAUGAAUAAGGACCGGCUAAUUCCG